AUAUAAGCACUAUCUCACCAGGGUUCAUUUGGGAACUUAUUUGAAAGCACUUUGUUUGAAAGGUGAACUUUCAAAUGAAUUGAUUUAAUUUAAUAUAAUAAUUGACCAUUAAUAAUGUAUGAUUCUCAAUAGCAUAUUUAUAUAUGAUAUGUAGAUCAUACCCCGAAUCAAUAUAUAGUUAUCAAACGUAAAUGCAUUUUAAUAUAGGAUGUCAUUAAAAAGGAGGGUCAUUUUUAUAUAAAAUCUCGCAAAAUUAUGACCCAUAUUUUUGGCACAUCCCCGUAUACCCAAUAAUAGGAAGUUGACCCCCCGUGGUAACACCU
rnacentral:lncRNA from 1 species